GAUGAACGCUAGCGGCAGGCUUAAUACAUGCAAGUCAAGGGGGUAGCAAUACAACCGGCGCACGGGUGAGUAACGCGUACACAACAUACCAUAUACUGGAGUAUAGCUUUGGGAAACUGAAGGUAAUCCUCCAUAACAUUGCGAGAGGGCAUCUGAUUGCAAUUAAAGUUUCGGCGGUAUAUGAUUGGUGUGCGUUUGAUUAGCUAGUUGGUAGGGUAACGGCCUACCAAGGCGACGAUCAAUAGCUGGCGUGAGAGCGCGACCAGCCACACUGGAACUGAGACACGGUCCAGACUCCUACGGGAGGCAGCAGUAGGGAAUAUUGGACAAUGGAGGAAACUCUGAUCCAGCCAUGCCGCGUGAUAGAUGAAGGCCCUCUGGGUUGUAAACCGCUUUUGUCAGGGAAGAAAUCUUCUGGGUUAAUACCUCGGGGGGAUGACGGUACCUGAAGAAUAAGCACCGGCUAACUACGUGCCAGCAGCCGCGGU
rnacentral:rRNA from 1 species